rnacentral:rRNA from 1 species
CAGUCGAGGGGUAUAGGUUUUCGGACCUAGAGACCGGCGCACGGGUGCGUAACGCGUAUGCAAUCUACCUUUUACAGAGGGAUAGCCCAGAGAAAUUUGGAUUAAUACCUCAUAGUAUUACGACUCGGCAUCGAGAUGUAAUUAAAGUCACAACGGUAAAAGAUGAGCAUGCGUCCCAUUAGCUUGUUGGUAAGGUAACGGCUUACCAAGGCAACGAUGGGUAGGGGUCCUGAGAGGGAGAUCCCACACACUGGUACUGAGACACGGACCAGACUCCUACGGGAGGCAGCAGUGAGGAAUAUUGGUCAAUGGGCGCAAGCCUGAACCAGCCAUGCCGCGUGCAGGAUGACGGUCCUAUGGAUUGUAAACUGCUUUUGUACAGGAAGAAACAGUUCUACGUGUAGAACCUUGACGGUACUGUAAGAAUAAGGAUCGGCUAACUCCGUGCCAGCAGCCGCGGUAAUACGGAGGAUCCAAGCGUUAUCCGGAAUCAUUGGGUUUAAAGGGUCCGUAGGCGGUUUUGUAAGUCAGUGGUGAAAGCCCAUCGCUCAACGGUGGAACGGCCAUUGAUACUGCAAGACUUGAAUUAUUGGGAAGUAACUAGAAUAUGUAGUGUAGCGGUGAAAUGCUUAGAGAUUACAUGGAAUACCAAUUGCGAAGGCAGGUUACUACCAAUAUAUUGACGCUGAUGGACGAAAGCGUGGGGAGCGAACAGGAUUAGAUACCCUGGUAG